GUCCUGGCCGUAAACGGUGGACACUAGGUGUUGGAGGCAUCGACCCCUCCAGUGCCGUAGCUAACGCAUUAAGUGUCCCGCCUGGGGAGUACGACCGCAAGGUUGAAACUCAAAGGAAUUGACGGGGGCCCGCACAAGCGGUGGAGCAUGUGGUUUAAUUCGACGCAACGCGAAGAACCUUACCCAGACUUGACAUGCACAGGACAGGUGUGGAAACACACCCUCCCUUCGGGGUCUGUGCACAGGUGCUGCAUGGCUGUCGU
rnacentral:rRNA from 1 species